UCCUGGAUGACAGAGAUCUCCAGUGGUGCUGGACACAUCUGGAAUGUGGAAUCCUAAUGCAGGAACCCCUGGUGGGAUGCCACCACCCAACAUGCAGCCUUACCCCCCUCCUCCUGGAUCAUACCCUGGCCCUUAUCCAGGGCCUGGCAUGCCAGCAUGCCCAGUCCCAGGCUAUCCUGGUUCUGGCUACCCUCCUCCACCUUGUGGACCCCCAGGCAUGCAUCUUGGGCCCAGUGGACCCCACCCCCACCCCCAUCCUCAUGGACACCACCCACAUGGACACCACCCUCAUGGACCCCAAGGCAUGAUGCCUGGGGGACCAGGAAGUCAGCCCGUUCCUCCUGGUUAUUGUCCCUCGGGUGGUCAUCAUGGGCAUCAUAAAAAGCAUAAGAAAAAGCAAAAGAAGCAUUCCCAUGGACAUGGAGGCAAGAAAAGCAGUGGAUCAAGCAGCAGCAGCAGUUCUGAUUCUGAUUAAAGAAGACCUCUCCUCCCAGCCUGGAUUGAGAUGGGUGAUGCAACAAAAGAAGAAUCUAAUUUAAGAAUCUCUGUUAUUCUACCAAUCCAUUCUUCUAUUCCCCUUUCCACCCCCUUCAGAAUGAAUUUUGUGUAACCUGGUGUGUAGCGAUUUCCUGUUUCUGGCCUCUGACAUUUCCGGCUAGACACAUUUUAGGAUCCUGAACUGAAGUUUUCAACCGUGUCUUUAAAGAAAAUUCUCAGUCUUAGAGGGUUUCAUUCUCUAAUCCCUGCUGAGAUUCAGAGGGACCACAGAUAACAAUGUAAUGAUUAAAAGUUCUGGUUGUGAAUGGA